AAUAAGUGUAGUUUUACACUAUUCAUUUCCAACGUUUAACCGUUCAUCUUAUUAGAAAUUAUUUUAUGAUUAGUAUUAUUAUUAUUAUUAGAUUGUAAAACAUAAAUAGUUUUUUUAUGUGUGACUAUUUUUUAAAAAGGAAAUUUCAUAUUUUUUUAAAUAAGAUGGACAGCCAAUCGUUAAAUAUAGAUACCCACGACUACACUUAUU
rfam:Oryza meridionalis cultivar OR44 (W2112) chromosome 3, whole genome shotgun sequence.